rnacentral:tRNA from 1 species
UAUCAGAUCUUGGUUUCGAUCCAGGGACAUGUGGGUUAUGGCCCACCACGCUUCCGCUGUGCCACUCUGAU